CGGAUCUUAUAAGGCAGCACGCUGCCGAAAUCGUCUGCAAUCCGGGUGCCGCACAUAUGCGGUGACGACCAUUCUCUUCUACCGUCGCAUGACGGCUCUCU
ncrna:unclassified sequences DTF3577 RNA